rnacentral:rRNA from 1 species
ACGGCCCAUAUUCCUACGGGAAGCAGCAGUAGGGAAUCUUCCACAAUGGGCGAAAGCCUGAUGGAGCAAUACCAUGUGAACGAUGAAGGCCUUUUUGGUUGUAAAGUUCUUUUAYRAGGGAUAAUUUUGAUAGUACUUCRUGAAUAAGUGACAGCAAACUAUGUGCCAGCAGCUGCGGUAAUACAUAGGUCGCAAGCAUUAUUCGGAUUUAUUGGGCGUAAAGCAAGCGCAGGCGGAUGUAUAAGUUCUGUGUUAAAUGCAGYUACUCAAUARUUGUUUGCACCGAAUACUAUACGUCUAGAUUGUGGUAGGAAGUUUCGGAAUUAARCAUGGAGCGGUGGAAUGUGUAGAUAUGCUUAAGAACACCAGAGGCGAAGGCGGAAACUUAGGCCAUAAAUGACGCUUAGGCUUGAAAGUGUGGGGAGCAAAUGGGAUUAGAUACCCCAGUAGUCCACACCGUAAACGAUGGGUAUUAGAUAUUGGGG